GAUGAUGAAGAUGAAUACACUUCAAGUGAGGAAGACGAAAUAAAUGAUGAUAUGGAUGUUGACGGUGAUGACAAUGAUCUUGUAGACACACAUUAUUGUAGUGAUGAUUCCGAUUAAAUACAUGGUAAAUGUUUCUAGCUCACAUGGUGGGGAUGGGGGGAAUGAUCCUCCCCAUGCUCAUAAUCAUAGGAUACCUACGAGUUGUCAGUCAUCUAAAUGCAAGAAAACCCGUUCGGUUGGAA